AAGGAGCACCACGAUAAACAUUCCCAAUUGGUGGGGAUGUAGCCGUGAGGAGCCUGGUCGCUGUAGUGGCGCCGGCUUGGUGCACAACAAACUUUUGAGAUGGUGUGGGAAACACUGUUUUGAGGAACUGCCAGACACACUAUUGGGCUUUGAGACAACAGGCCCGCAGUCCUGUCCCGUUGGGGGCAGGGGGUGUGUUGUUGCCUCACUUUGGUGGUGGGGUGUGGUGUUUGAUUUGUGGAUAGUGGUUGCGAGCAUC
rnacentral:misc_RNA from 1 species